UAGUAUUUGUAAGAAUUCUUACGCAUCAACAUUUAUUGCUAGUUUGGAAAUUUAGUGCAUCUAUAGUCCGACUAAAUACUUAUAAUGCAUGCACAAAUUCAAAAUAUUGAAUCCAGAUUCUUGAUUGUGACAUAUUAAACUACUUUGAUCAAAGGUGUCAUGCUGAUAAUAGUUUCAAAAGGAUUUAUGGAAAACCAUGAGGAAAAUAAUUACUAUUGUUAGCUAAUAAACAUGCUGGCAUGAUCAUGAAGAAUUCUAGUGAACCAAAGCCUAUGCUCAACAUCCGACCCUGGCCUCCUCGUUGGCUGAGUGCAAGUCUAAAAAAUUU
rnacentral:lncRNA from 1 species